rnacentral:rRNA from 1 species
AGGACGAACGCUGGCGGCGUGCUUAACACAUGCAAGUGGUGCGACGAACCAGGGCUUGCCCUGGGGCUAAGCCGCGAACGGGUGAGUAACACGUGAGUAAUCUGCCCCGAUGACCGGGACAACCCGAGGAAACUCGGGCUAAUACCGGAUGUGGUGCACAGGCAUAAGCUUGUGUACUAAAGGAAGCUUCGGCCUCCGCAUUGGGAGGAGCUCGCGGCCCAUUAGCUAGUUGGUGGGGUAAUGGCCUACCAAGGCGACGACGGGUA